GCACCGGAUCCCAUCAGAACUCCGCA
rnacentral:ncRNA from 2 species